CCCUCUUAGCACGUCUGCCAUCUCUUCCUGCUCUGGGUGUCACUUAGCUCUGAAAACAUAGGCAUCGGAGUGUAGCAGACUGACUCAGAGUCCUCCCAAGAUGCAGAUUCUACUGAAAUCCAAACCCAAGGGGUCUACAAAAUGGAUAAGAAAACUGAAGCCCAGAAAAUUUAUUUCCUUCACCUGGUCACACACAGAUCUCCUGGUAUAUUCAGAACUAGAACUCAGAUACUUGAUUCCCAUUCAGAAAGAACCUGGUCAGCUGGUUCGGGGUUAAAGAGGACAGAGAACACCAGUGAAAAAACCUCCACUGAGUUUCUCCUUCAUGAAACAAAGGGUGAGCACCAUUUUCAGUUCAAAAUGUGGGUAACAGGAUGAAGUCAGAAAAUCAGUUAAAAUUGGAAGAAAAGGAAGAAAUAAGAGGAAACUAAAGAAAGAAGGC
rnacentral:lncRNA from 10 species